GCACAUGCAAAACGCGUGGAAUGAAACAAAGGGGUUAAGACCAAUGCAUACACCUUCCUCUCUCCCUUAUCUCUCAGUCCUCUAUUCCAAUACUCUCUCCACCGUGUCGGAAGUUGCCUUUGGAGGCGGAGGUGCUUCUAAUUCCCAAUAAAGAAUAACACAUAAAUCUAAAUCAGACGCUGAAUAUGAAACUACUAAUGGAUUAAACUAAUU
rnacentral:lncRNA from 1 species